rnacentral:tRNA from 1 species
GGACGUGGUGGAAUUGGUAGANNGAGCACAGCAUUCAUAAUGCUGGGGUCGGUGGUUCAAGUCCACCCGUAGCUACCA